AGGAUCAUUAUUGAAAACAAUAUAUAAAGGAGGCUGUUGCUGGUCCUCAAAAGGGACAACUUGUGCACGCCUUCUUUGUCCUCUUUCACACCUGUGCACCUUUUGUAGGUUUGAGCAAUCGGGCCUACGUCUUUUUUUCAUUCACACCUUAUUUUGAAUGUAUUUUGUGCUUGAAAUAAAGCAAAUCAUUAUACAACUUUCAACAACGGAUCUCUUGGCUCUCGCAUCGAUGAAGAACGCAGCGAAAUGCGAUAAGUAAUGUGAAUUGCAGAAUUCAGUGAAUCAUCGAAUCUUUGAACGCACCUUGCGCUCCUUGGAAUUCCGAGGAGCAUGCCUGUUUGAGUGUCAUUAAACCUUCAAACCUUGCGACAGUGAGGGUUUGGAUUGUGGAGUGUGCUAGAGAAACAAGGACUUUUCUUUGUUAGGUCUCAUUUUCCAGCUCCUCUAAAAUGUAUUAGCAAAACCUCUUUGCAAAUCCAACGGCUUUUUGAGCUUUUGGCUUGAUAAUCCAUUUGUCUACGCCAACUGCCAUUGUGCUGGUGUAAAGACUUUGCUCAUAAACCCCAUAUAAACCUUUUUAUUUGGCCUCAAAUCAGGUAGGACUACCCGCUGAACUUAA
rnacentral:rRNA from 1 species